rnacentral:rRNA from 1 species
GAAAGCGAAGCUAAUACCUGAUAAGACUACGAUCUUCUAGGAGAUAGUAGGAAAAGAUGGCCUCUGUUUCAUGCUAUUGUUUAAGGAUGAGCCCUUGCACUAUUAGCUUGUUGGUGGGGUAAUGGCCCACCAAGGCUACGAUGGUUAGCUGGUCUGAGAGGAUGACCAGCCACACUGGAACUGAGACACGGUCCAGACUCCUACGGGAGGCAGCAGUGAGGAAUAUUGCGCAAUGGGGGAAACCCUGACGCAGUGACGCCGCGUGAGUGAUGAAGGCUUUCGAGUCGUAAAGCUCUGUUAGGUGGAAAGAAAUAUCCCAGUGCCAAUACCACUGGGAUUUGACGGUACCACCAGAGGAAGCACCGGCUAACUCCGUGCCAGCAGCCGCGGUAAUACGGAGGGUGCAAGCGUUGUUCGGAAUUACUGGGCGUAAAGGGCGUGUAGGCGGUUAGGCAAGUCAGAUGUGAAAUCCCUUGGCUCAACCAAGGAAGUGCAUUUGAAACUGCUUAACUAGAGUACAGGAGGGGAAAGUGGAAUUCCCAGUGUA